rnacentral:rRNA from 1 species
UGUAGGCGGCCUCCUAAGUCUGAUGUGAAAGCCCGGGGCUUACCCCCGGAAGGGCAUUGGAAACUGGGAGACUCGAGUACCGGAGAGGAAGGUGGAAUUCCUGGUGUAGCGGUGAAAUGCGUAGAUAUCAGGAGGAACACCGGUGGCGAAGGCGGCCUUCUGGACGGAUACUGACGCUGAGACGCGAAAGCGUGGGGAGCAAACAGGAUUAGAUACCCUGGUAGUCCACGCCGUAAACGAUGGGCACUAGGUGUUCGGGGUAUUGACCCCCUGAGUGCCGCAGCUAACGCAUUAAGUGCCCCGCCUGGGGACUACGGCCGCAAGGUUAA